UACGGGGGGGGCAAGCGUUGUUCGGAAUUACGGGGCGUAAAGGGCUCGUAGGUGGCCAACUAAGUCGGACGUGAAAUCCCCCGGCUUAACCGGGGAACUGCGUCCGAUACUGGAUGGCUUGAGUUUGGGAGAGGGAUGCGGAAUUCCAGGUGUAGCGGUGAAAUGCGUAGAUAUCUGGAGGAACACCGGUGGCGAAGGCGGCAUCCUGGACCAACACUGACACUGAGGAGCGAAAGCCAGGGGAGCAAACGGG
rnacentral:rRNA from 1 species